rnacentral:rRNA from 1 species
AACGAACGCUGGCGGCAUGCCUAACACAUGCAAGUCGAACGAGACCUUCGGGUCUAGUGGCGCACGGGUGCGUAACGCGUGGGAACCUGCCCUUAGGUUCGGAAUAACUCCCCGAAAGGGGUGCUAAUACCGGAUAAUGUCUUCGGACCAAAGAUUUAUCGCCUUUGGAUGGGCCCGCGUUGGAUUAGCUAGUUGGUAGGGUAAAAGCCUACCAAGGCGACGAUCCAUAGCUGGUCUGAGAGGAUGAUCAGCCACACUGGGACUGAGACACGGCCCAGACUCCUACGGGGGGCGGCAUGGGGGAAUAUUGGACAAGGGGCGAAAGCCGGACCCAGCAAUGCCGGGUGGGGGAUGAAGGCCUUGGGGUUGUAAAGCUCUUUUACCCGGGAUGAAAAUGACAGUACCGGGAGAAAAGGCCCCGGCUAACCCCG